rnacentral:tRNA from 1 species
GCCAAGUUAGUGAAGACGGUGAUCACGCUAGUUUGAAAAGCUAGAGACCGGGGUUCGAUUCCCCGACUUGGCAC